GGUUGUAGCUCAGCUGUAGAGCACUUGCCUAGAAUGUGCGAGGCCCUGGGUUCAAUCCUCAGCACCA
rnacentral:tRNA from 1 species